rnacentral:rRNA from 1 species
AUUGAACGCUGGCGGCAGGCUUAACACAUGCAAGUCGAGCGCGCGGCGGACGGGUGUGUAAUGUCUGGGACACUGCCUGAGGGAGGGGGAUAACUACUGGAAACGGUCGCUAAUACCGCAUACCAUCAGAUGUUCCCAGAUGGGAUUAGCUAGUAGGUGGGGUAAUGGCUCACCUAGGCGACGAUCCCUAGCUGGUCUGAGAGGAUGACCAGCCACACUGGAACUGAGACACGGUCCAGACUCCUACGGGAGGCAGCAGUGGGGAAUAUUGCACAAUGGGCGCAAGCCUGAUGCAGCCAUGCCGCGUGUGUGAAGAAGGCCUUCGGGUUGUAAAGUACUUUCAGUGGGGAGGCGUUACUCACAGAAGAAGCACCGGCUAACUCCGUGCCAGCAGCCGCGGUAAUAC